UACGAAGGGGGCUAGCGUUGCUCGGAAUUACUGGGCGUAAAGGGCGCGUAGGCGGCACUGUUAGUCAGGCGUGAAAGUCCUGGGCUCAACCUGGGAACUGCGCUUGAUUCGGCAGAGCUAGAGGAUGGAAGAGGCUCGCGGAAUUCCCAGUGUAGAGGUGAAAUUCGUAGAUAUUGGGAAGAACACCGGUGGCGAAGGCGGCGAGCUGGUCCAUUACUGACGCUGAGGCGCGACAGCGUGGGGAGCAAACAGG
rnacentral:rRNA from 1 species